AAUCAACGCUGGCGGCGUGCCUCAGACAUGCAAGUCGAACGCGAAAGUCCCCUUCGGGGGGCGAGUAGAGUGGCGCACGGGUGAGUAACACGUAGGUAAUCUACCUUUGGAUUGGGAAUAACCACCGGAAACGGUGGCUAAUACCGAAUAAUGCAGCGGCACCUAAUGGUGACAGUUGUUAAAGCGGGGGAUCGCAAGACCUCGCGUCUGAAGAGGAGCCUGCGGCAGAUUAGCUAGUUGGUAAGGUAACGGCUUACCAAGGCGAUGAUCUGUAGCCGGCCUGAGAGGGCGGUCGGCCACACUGACACUGACAUACGGGUCAGACUCCUACGGGAAGCAGCAGUCGGGAAUUUUGGGCAAUGGGCGAAAGCCUGACCCAGCAACGCCGCGUGAAGGAUGAAAUCCCUCGGGAUGUUAACUUCGCAAGAACGGGAAGAAUAAGUAAGGGUUAAUAUCUCUUACGAUGACGGUACUGUUUGUAAGCUCCGGCUAACUCCGUGC
rnacentral:rRNA from 1 species